rnacentral:rRNA from 1 species
GACGAACGCUGGCGGCGUGCUUAACACAUGCAAGUCGAACGGAAAGGCCCUGCUUUCGUGGUGUGCUCGAGUGGCGAACGGGUGAGUAACACGUGAGUAACCUGCUCUUGUCUUUGGUAUAACUUCAGGAAACUGGGGCUAAUACCGGAUAGCAUCUCCUGCUGCAUGGUGGGGGUUGGAAAGUUUCGGCGGUUGGGGAUGGACUCGCGGCUUAUCAGCUUGUUGGUGGGGUAGUGGCUUACCAAGGCUUUGACGGGUAGCCGGCCUGAGAGGGUGACCGGCCACAUUGGGACUGAGAGACGGCCCAGACGCCUACGGGAGGCAGCAGUGGGGAAUAUUGCACAAUGGGCGGAAGCCUGAGGCAGCAACGCCGCGUGCGGGAUGACGGCCUUCGGGUUGUAAACCGCUUUCGCCUGUGACGAAGCGGGAGUGACGGUAAUGGGUGAAGAAGCACCGGCUAACUACGUG